GCCAGACUCCUACGGGAGGCAGCAGUGGGGAAUAUUGCACAAUGGGGGAAACCCUGAUGCAGCAACGCCGCGUGAAGGAAGACGGUUUUCGGAUUGUAAACUUCUGUUCUUAGUGAAGAAUAAUGACGGUAGCUAAGGAGCAAGCCACGGCUAACUACGUGCCAGCAGCCGCGGUCAUACGUAGGAUCCGAGCAUUAUCCGGAGUGACUGGGUGUAAAGAGUUGCGUAGGUGGCAUAAUAAGUAGCUAGUGAAAUCUGGUGGCUCAACCAUUCAGACUAUUAGCUAAACUGUUAAGCUCGAGACCGUUAGGGGUAACUGGAAUUUCUAGUGUAGGAGUGAAAUCCGUAGAUAUUAGAAGGAACACCAAUAGCGUAGGCAGGUUACUGGGACGGUUCUGACACUAAGGCACGAAAGCGUAGGGAGCAAACGGGAUUAGAUACCCCAGUAA
rnacentral:rRNA from 1 species